AUUGAACGCUGGCGGCAUGCUUUACACAUGCAAGUCGAACGGUAACAGGGAGCUUGCUCCGCUGACGAGUGGCGAACGGGUGAGUAAUGCAUCGGAACAUGCCCAGUCAUGGGGGAUAACUACGCGAAAGCGUAGCUAAUACCGCAUACGCCCUGAGGGGGAAAGUGGGGGAUCUUAGGACCUCACGUGAUUGGAGUGGCCGAUGUCAGAUUAGCUAGUUGGUGAGGUAAAGGCUCACCAAGGCGACGAUCUGUAGCGGGUCUGAGAGGAUGAUCCGCCACACUGGGACUGAGACACGGCCCAGACUCCUACGGGAGGCAGCAGUGGGGAAUUUUGGACAAUGGGCGCAAGCCUGAUCCAGCCAUGCCGCGUGAGUGAAGAAGGCCU
rnacentral:rRNA from 1 species